GACAGAGGGUGCAAACGUUGUUCGGAUUUACUGGGCGUAAAGCGCGUGUAGGCGGCUUGGCAAGUCGGAUGUGAAAGCCCACGGCUCAACCGUGGAAGCGCAUCCGAAACUGCUUCGCUCGAGUCUCGGAGAGGAAGGUGGAAUGCUUGGUGUAGAGGUGAAAUUCGUAGAUAUCAAGAGGAACACCUGCGGCGAAGGCGGGUUGCUGGGCCGACACUGACGCUGAGGCGCGAAAGCCAGGGGAGCGAACGGG
rnacentral:rRNA from 1 species